rnacentral:rRNA from 1 species
AUUGAACGCUGGCGGCAUGCCUUACACAUGCAAGUCGAACGGCAGCACGGGUGCUUGCACCUGGUGGCGAGUGGCGAACGGGUGAGUAAUACAUCGGAACAUGUCCUGUAGUGGGGGAUAGCCCGGCGAAAGCCGGAUUAAUACCGCGUACGAUCUACGGAUGAAAGCGGGGGACCUUCGGGCCUCGCGCUAUAGGGUUGGCCGAUGGCUGAUUAGCUAGUUGGUGGGGUAAAGGCCUACCAAGGCGACGAUCAGUAGCUGGUCUGAGAGGACGACCAGCCACACUGGGACUGAGACACGGCCCAGACUCCUACGGGAGGCAGCAGUGGGGAAUUUUGGACAAUGGGCGAAAGCCUGAUCCAGCAAUGCCGCGUGUGUGAAGAAGGCCUUCGGGUUGUAAAGCACUUUUGUCCGGAAAGAAAUCCUUGGCUCUAAUACAGUCGGGGGAUGACAGUACCGGAAGAAUAAGCACCGGCUAACUACGUG